rnacentral:rRNA from 1 species
UACGUAGGGUGCAAGCGUUGUCCGGAAUUACUGGGCGUAAAGCGUGCGCAGGCGGCUUCUCAAGUCAGGGGUGAAAGCCCAGAGCUCAACUCUGGAAUUGCCUUUGAGACUGAGUGGCUUGAGUACGAGAGAGGUGAGUGGAAUUCCCAGUGUAGAGGUGAAAUUCGUAGAUAUUGGGAAGAACACCGGUGGCGAAGGCGGCUCACUGGCUCGUAACUGACGCUCAUGCACGACAGCGUGGGGAUCAAACAGG